rnacentral:rRNA from 1 species
GGUGAAAAGUACCCCGAGAGGGGAGUGAAAUAGACCUGAAACCGUGUACGUACAAACAGUCGGAGUAUCGAUUUAUCGAUAUGACGGCGUGCCUUUUGAAGAAUGAACCUGCGAGUUACUGGGACGUGGCAAGGUUAAUCUGCUAAGCAGAGGAGCCGAAGCGAAAGCGAGUCUGAAUAGGGCAUUCAGUCGCGUUCCGUAGACCCGAAACCAGGCGAGCUACCCAUGGCCAGGUUGAAGCUCAGAUAGUCUCUGAGUGAAGGACCGAACCCAUUUCAAGUACAAAUGGAUGGGAUGAGUUGUGGGUAGAGGUGAAAUGCCAAUCGAGCUUGGAAAUAGCUGGUUCUCCCCGAAAUGCAUUUAGGUGCAGCGUUGAAGAUUGACUUGAGGAGGUAAGGCUCUGGAUGGGUCAGGGGGUGCAAACUUACCGAUCCCAACCAAACCAAGAAUGCCUUAAGCUCGUACUUCAGCAGUGAGACAGUGGGGGAUAAGCUCCAUUGUCGAGAGGGAAACAGCCCAGACCACCGUCUAAGGUCCCCAAGUAUAUACUCAGUGUGAAAGGAAGUUGAAUCGCCAAAACAGCCAGGAGGUUGGCUUAGAAGCAGCCACCCUUUAAAGAGUGCGUAAUAGCUCACUGGUCGAGGGGUUCUGCGCCGACAAUUUAACGGGGCUUAAGUAUAUCACCGAAGACGUGGCAUCAGUUUACUGAUGGGUAGGGGAGCGUUCUGUAGGCAGUGAAGUCUAGUUGUAAAGCUAGGUGGAGCGUACAGAAGUGAGAAUGCAGGUAUGAGUAGCGUAUAUCUCGGUGAGAAUCCGAGACGUCGAAAAUCUGAGGAUUCCUACGCAACGUUUAUCGACGUAGGGUUAGUCGGUCCUAAGGUGUAUCCGAAAGGAGUAACCGAUGGACAGUAGGUCAAAAUUCCUACACCACCUAUUAUUCGUUUUAAUACAAAGGGGGGACACGGAAAGGUAGGCUGAGCGUGCCUAAUGGACAUGGUGCGUUCUUCUUUGAAGGCCAUCUCGCAAGACAUGUAAAUCAGUUAGCGAGGUUAUGAGCUGAGGAAGGAGAGAACUCUAGGGCUCGCCCUGGGGAAUUCGGUUGAACCUAUGCCGUCAAGAAAAGCCUCGUUGUAAGGAUAAUGGGUGACCGUACCGUAAACCGACACUGGUAGAUGAGCAUGAAAGUGCUAAGACGGUCGAGAGAACUCUGGUUAAGGAACUCGGCAAAAGGACCCCGUAACUUCGGGAUAAGGGGUUCCCUCGGGGUGAAGUCUAUUUACUAGACCAGCUCUAGAGGGACACAGCAAAUUGGCCCAAGCGACUGUUUAUCAAAAACACAGGUCUCUGCUAAGGGGUAACCCUAGGUAUAGAGGCUGACGCCUGCCCAGUGCCGGAAGGUUAAAGGGAAAGGUUAUCCGUAAGGAGAAGCUUUGAACUGAAGCCCCGGUGAACGGCGGCCGUAACUAUAACGGUCCUAAGGUAGCGAAGUCCCUUGUCGGGUAAGUUCCGACCCGCACGAAUGGCGUAACGACUUGGGCGCUGUCUCAACCAGAGACUCGGCGAAAUUGCAUUGGCCGUGAAGAUGCGGCCUACCCGCGACAGGACAAAAAGACCCCAUGGAGCUUUACUACAGCUUGGCAUUGAAUUGAGGACUGGAAUGUGUAGGAUAGGUGGGAGGCUUUGAAGCUUCGGCGCUAGUCGAAGUGGAGCCGUUGUUGAAAUACCACUCUUUUCUGUUGUUGAUUCUAACCUGUGAUAGGCACAGGGACCGUGUCUGGUGGGUAGUUUGACUGGGGCGGUCGCCUCCCAAAGAGUAACGGAGGCGUACAAAGGUUCGCUCAGGACGGAUGGAAAUCGUCCGAAGAGUGCAUUGGCAUAAGCGAGCUUGACUGUGAGACCUACAAGUCGAGCAGGUGCGAAAGCAGGUCAAAGUGAUCCUACGGUUCCGCAUGGAAGGGCCGUGGCUUAACGGAUAAAAGCUACCCUGGGGAUAACAGGCUUAUCUUGCCCAAGAGUUCACAUCGACGGCAA